rnacentral:lncRNA from 1 species
AGACAAGAUCAGAAUAGCUCUCAGUCUGCAUCUCCUCCACUACCAAAUCUACCUCCACCUCAGGCAACACCUGCUCAAGUAGCAACUCCAUCCCCUCCAUCUGAACCAACAACCUCCACACUUUUUUUAGUAUAAACUCCAUCCUCACCCCUACCUACUCACCCUCAAGAACCCACAGCACCCUCAUCAUUUCAAUCUCAAAGAUUGCUUGUUGACCC